rnacentral:rRNA from 1 species
AAAUUGAAGAGUUUGAUCAUGGCUCAGAUUGAACGCUGGCGGCAGGCCUAACACAUGCAAGUCGAGCGGUAGCACAGAGAGCUUGCUCUCGGGUGACGAGCGGCGGACGGGUGAGUAAUGUCUGGGAAACUGCCUGAUGGAGGGGGAUAACUACUGGAAACGGUAGCUAAUACCGCGUAAUGUCGCAAGACCAAAGUGGGGGACCUUCGGGCCUCAUGCCAUCAGAUGUGCCCAGAUGGGAUUAGCUAGUAGGUGGGGUAACGGCUCACCUAGGCGACGAUCCCUAGCUGGUCUGAGAGGAUGACCAGCCACACUGGAACUGAGACACGGUCCAGACUCCUACGGGAGGCAGCAGUGGGGAAUAUUGCACAAUGGGCGCAAGCCUGAUGCAGCCAUGCCGCGUGUGUGAAGAAGGCCUUCGGGUUGUAAAGCACUUUCAGCGGGGAGGAAGGCGGUGAGGUUAAUAACCUCAUCGAUUGACGUUACCCGCAGAAGAAGCACCGGCUAACUCCGUGCCAGCAGCCGCGGUAAUACGGAGGGUGCAAGCGUUAAUCGGAAUUACUGGGCGUAAAGCGCACGCAGGCGGUCUGUCAAGUCGGAUGUGAAAUCCCCGGGCUCAACCUGGGAACUGCAUUCGAAACUGGCAGGCUAGAGUCUUGUAGAGGGGGGUAGAAUUCCAGGUGUAGCGGUGAAAUGCGUAGAGAUCUGGAGGAAUACCGGUGGCGAAGGCGGCCCCCUGGACAAAGACUGACGCUCAGGUGCGAAAGCGUGGGGAGCAAACAGGAUUAGAUACCCUGGUAGUCCACGCCGUAAACGAUGUCGAUUUGGAGGUUGUGCCCUUGAGGCGUGGCUUCCGGAGCUAACGCGUUAAAUCGACCGCCUGGGGAGUACGGCCGCAAGGUUAAAACUCAAAUGAAUUGACGGGGGCCCGCACAAGCGGUGGAGCAUGUGGUUUAAUUCGAUGCAACGCGAAGAACCUUACCUGGUCUUGACAUCCACAGAACUUUCCAGAGAUGGAUUGGUGCCUUCGGGAACUGUGAGACAGGUGCUGCAUGGCUGUCGUCAGCUCGUGUUGUGAAAUGUUGGGUUAAGUCCCGCAACGAGCGCAACCCUUAUCCUUUGUUGCCAGCGGUUCGGCCGGGAACUCAAAGGAGACUGCCAGUGAUAAACUGGAGGAAGGUGGGGAUGACGUCAAGUCAUCAUGGCCCUUACGACCAGGGCUACACACGUGCUACAAUGGCAUAUACAAAGAGAAGCGACCUCGCGAGAGCAAGCGGACCUCAUAAAGUAUGUCGUAGUCCGGAUUGGAGUCUGCAACUCGACUCCAUGAAGUCGGAAUCGCUAGUAAUCGUAGAUCAGAAUGCUACGGUGAAUACGUUCCCGGGCCUUGUACACACCGCCCGUCACACCAUGGGAGUGGGUUGCAAAAGAAGUAGGUAGCUUAACCUUCGGGAGGGCGCUUACCACUUUGUGAUUCAUGACUGGGGUGAAGUCGUAACAAGGUAACCGUAGGGGAACCUGCGGUUGGAUCACCUCCUUA